GCAUUUCAAGUUGCCAAGGCCUUCUCUGCGAAAUCCAACACCCAGGUGCUACUCCAUGUGCCUAGCAAAGAUAAAGUUGAACAACACUCUCUGCUAUUCCUUCAUGGCAUUCGAUGCUUAGCCACUAUGCACAUUGUGGUCGGACACAUCAACGUGAUGAUAACAGACAGUUUAACACGCGUGUUGAGCUUGUUCGAGGGUACAACAAAGUGGCAGAACAUGCUGGUACCUGCAGCAUUCAACAGCGUUGAUACUUUCUUCUUUCUCAGUGGCUUCUUUCUGUGUCACAUUAUAUGCAAGCAGAAGGAGAAUAGCGCUGCCGUGUUUACCAUCGCCGUGAUCAGAAGGCUGAUCAGGUGAGAACACUGCCUCUUAUUUGAAUUUGAACAUUUCAAUAAUUAGAGUUGGGCUAGCACACCUCAGUUACUCAUGUAAGGGG
rnacentral:lncRNA from 1 species